UUCGUGUGCAUCGUCACCAACGUGGCCUCGC
rnacentral:piRNA from 1 species